UACAGAGGUCCCAAGCGUUGUUCGGAUUCACUGGGCGUAAAGGGUGCGUAGGUGGUGAGGUAAGUUUGAUGUGAAAUCUCCGGGCUCAACCCGGAAAUGGCAUUGAAUACUAUCUUGCUAGAGGAGUGGAGGGGGGGGACUGGAAUACUUGGUGUAGCAGUGAAAUGCGUAGAUAUCAAGUGGAACACCAGUGGCGAAGGCGAGUCCCUGGACACUUCCUGACACUGAGGCACGAAAGCUAGGGGAGCAAACGGG
rnacentral:rRNA from 1 species